CCUGGUUGGGUUGCGGCCCCACAGACAGCAGUGCAGCGCCCAAGGGAUAGGCGCCACACUGUGUAAUGUGCAGCGCCUAUGGCUUGGGCGCUGCACAUUGACUUAAGCCGCAUCGGGCCAGCCCCUCCCAGCAGUUCUUCCCCCUCUGAGCAGUUGCUCUGUUUACAGAGAGCGGCGGCAGCGGCUCUCCCUUCGGAUCCCCCCCACACCCCUCUCAGAUCUGAAGUUUUGAGGCCCGGAUUCGAUCUCCAAUCCCUCCUACUAGGAUGGUUUGGCUUCUCGACGAUGUCUACGACACGAAACACCGGGCCUACAUGAUGCGCGAGAAGGAGAUGAAGCUUGAACCUUUGAAGAUUCGGUAUCACGGGGUCUCUGGUCCUGCCAUGCCUUACGAUGAGCGGUACACACCGUACAUCAAGCAGGCAGGACUACUCCCGUGGAUUCAGUUGGUCAGCCGGUCCACGCCGAAUCUGAACGCUCCACUGGUGUCCGCUCUUGCUGAUCGGUGGAGGC